GCCUGGCUAGCUCAAUCAGCAGAGUGUGAGACACUUAAUCUCAAGGUUGCAGGUUCUACCCCUUGUUGGGCU